rnacentral:rRNA from 1 species
CCUACGUGGUGCAGCAGUGAGGAAUAUUGGUCAAUGGGCGCGAGCCUGAACCAGCCAAGUAGCGUGAAGGAUGACUGCCCUACGGGUUGUAAACUUCUUUUAUAAAGGAAUAAAGUGGGGCACGUGUGCCUUUUUGUAUGUACUUUAUGAAUAAGGAUCGGCGAACUCCGUGCCAGCAGCCGCGGUAAUACGGAGGAUCCGAGCGUUAUCCGGAUUUAUUGGGUUUAAAGGGAGCGUAGAUGGGUUGUUAAGUCAGUUGUGAAAGUUUGCGGCUCAACCGUAAAAUUGCAAUUGAUACUGGCAGUCUUGAGUACAGUUGAGGUAGGCGGAAUUCGUGGUGUAGCGGUGAAAUGCUUAGAUAUCACGAAGAACUCCGAUUGCGAAGGCAGCUUACUAAACUGCCACUGACAUUGAUGCUCGAAAGUGUGGGUAUCAAACAGGAUUAGAUACCCCUGUAGUC